rnacentral:tRNA from 2 species
GCGGCUAUGGCGAAAUUGGUAGACGCGAUGGUUUUAGGUACCAUUGGGCAACCGUGGGGGUUCGAGUCCCUCUAGCCGCACCA